rnacentral:rRNA from 1 species
AAUGCAAGUCGACGCCUUGUCGUUCAACUGAUUUAGAGAGCUUGCUCGAAGAAGACGUUGAACAAUGCAAGGAGUGGCGAACGGGUGAGUAACACGUGGGAAACCUACCUCUUAGUAGGGGAUAACAUCUGGAAACAGGUGCUAAUACCGCAUAACAACGAUAACCGCAUGGUUAUCGCUUGAAAGGUGGCGUAAGCUACCGCUAAGAGAUGGUCCCGCGGUGCAUUAGUUAGUUGGUGAGGUAAAGGCUCACCAAGACGAUGAUGCAUAGCCGAGUUGAGAGACUGAUCGGCCACAAUGGGACUGAGACACGGCCCAUACUCCUACGGGAGGCAGCAGUAGGGAAUCUUCCACAAUGGACGAAAGUCUGAUGGAGCAACGCCGCGUGUGUGAUGAAGGGUUUCGGCUCGUAAAACACUGUUGUAAGAGAAGAAUGAUACUAAGAGUAACUGUUUAGUAUGUGACGGUAUCUUACCAGAAAGGAACGGCUAAAUACGUGCCAGCAGCCGCGGUAAUACGUAUGUUCCAAGCGUUAUCCGGAUUUAUUGGGCGUAAAGCGAGCGCAGACGGUUGUUUAAGUCUGAAGUGAAAGCCCACAGCUUAACUGUGGAAGUGCUUUGGAAACUGGAUAACUUGAGUGCAGUAGAGGAAAGUGGAACUCCAUGUGUAGCGGUGAAAUGCGUAGAUAUAUGGAAGAACACCAGCGGCGAAGGCGGCUUUCUGGACUGUAACUGACGUUGAGGCUCGAAAGUGUGGGUAGCAAACAGGAUUAGAUACCCUGGUAGUCCACACCGUAAACGAUGAGUGCUAGAUGUUUGGGGGUUUCCGCCCCUAAGUGUCGUAGCUAACGCAUUAAGCACUCCGCCUGGGGAGUACGACCGCAAGGUUGAAACUCAAAGGAAUUGACGGGGACCCGCACA